CCUACGGGAGGCAGCAGUCGAGAAUUAUUCACAAUGGGGAAAACCCUGAUGGUGCGACGCCGCGUGGGGGAAUGAAGGUCUUCGGAUUGUAAACCCCUGUCAUGUGGGAGCAAAUUAAAAAGAUAGUACCACAAGAGGAAGAGACGGCUAACUCUGUGCCAGCAGCCGCGGUAAUACAGAGGUCUCAAGCGUUGUUCGGAAUCACUGGGCGGAAAGCGUGCGUAGGCUGUUUCGUAAGGCGUGUGUGAAAGGCGCGGGCUCAACCCGCGGACGGCACAUGAUACUGCGAGACUAGAGUAAUGGAGGGGGAGCCGGAAUUCUCGGUGUAGCAGUGAAAUGCGUAGAUAUCGAGAGGAACACUCGUGGCGAAGGCGGGUUCCUGGACAUUAACUGACGCUGAGGCACGAAGGCCAGGGGAGCGAAAGGGAUUAGAUACCCCAGUAGUC
rnacentral:rRNA from 1 species